UCGCUUUGGCAGCACAGAUGCUAAGAUUGGAAUGACACAGAGAAGAUGAGCACAGCCCCUGUGUGAGGGUGACGUGCAAAUUUGUGAGGUGUUCCAUAUUUUU
ensembl:snRNA U6 U6 spliceosomal RNA